UUAGCAGCACACAUCACCAGUGUCCAGAUGGAAAUAUGUUUAGCUUUUGAGUGUUUCUGGUCUCAGUAAUAGGGCUGUCUUCCUAUUGGAGUUUAAUGUAGGGGAUUCUGGAUUUUGAGUAUUGAUGCUUCCACUGAAUGAGAUGGAUGUUGUCAAGCCAGAUUGUUAAAUUAAAUAUUGAAUGCAUGUAAUGGUUUUUAUUUUUUUUCAGAUCUGGCCUUAUUUGAUUCCCAUUGUAUUUCUAUAUAAAGAAAUAGAGGGCUAGUCAUGCUGCAUAAUUAUUUACUGUCCAUGUAACGGCAAUUUCUUCUUACAAAUGAUUUUUUUUUUUUUACCAUUUCAGUGUCUACCUUAAGCUUGGUUUGCUUUUAGCUGUUUUCAAUAUUUCUCCUGGGGCCUGGAAAACACCCCUGGACAUUGAUGGAAACCAUAUACUAUUUCCUCAGAAUGGAAGGUCGAUCCUACCAAUAUCUCUGAUAUCCCUGCCAAACCAAUUCAAGAUCUUAUAGAAUCAUUCAUGCUGGACACCUUUACAUACCUUGAAAGUAAACCAGUGUUUCACAAAGUGAGUCCUGCACCAGUUGCAUUGGUAUCACCCAGGAGCUCUUAGAGAUACUUUGGAAUUAAGUCACAUAGGAAUAUGUGAUUUUUUUUUUCUUCUGUGAAAAUGUAUCCCAGGAGGUCACAGUGGUCUCCCUCAGGACUGGAUAUGGCUCCCUAUACCCUGGUGACCUAAGAACGAAAAGGACAAGAUAUCUGUCCCUAUAUCCAAUAGGCAAUGGUGGAGUGUCUGAUCCUCUAUGGAUAUAAAACUGCCUUUCCUGUCUUCCUUCCUUCAGGACCCUACUUCCCUGGUGAGAGGCUGGAAAAGUUAGCCCUUGAAGAAAAGCUGUUCGUGGCUACAAAUGGUCUACUGAAUUUCCUCUUCCAAACCAGUGCCUUGUGAACCCAGUUGUUCUCUAUAGUCAAAGGAAUAACCCAUGUUUGAAUUUUAGUUCAGGACUUGAUGAAAAGGUCUGGCAGAGUUCUGUGCUAGGUGCUGCUAACUCAUCCAGGAAAUAGGCUGGCCCUGCUUGGGAAUUUCAUGGACAAUGGGAUUUCACCAUUCAUAGACAACAGCAAAACUGUGGUAACUAGCUUAACCCUCUUACAAUGGCACAGCUGAACCAAAUACAAAAGUUAAAAAAAUAAAUCAGCAUAUUGACUUCUUUGCUCAGAGUCUGUCAGGAAAAAUGAUGUGCAUUAUUGUUGAAAGUAAGGAUUGUGCACUAAUUAUAAUAGUAAUAGCAAUGAUGCUUAAUUUGCAUAGCAAGUUACAAGCUGACAGAUUGUGUGUGUGUCUAUAUACAUACAUUGUUUAUACAUGUAGACACACAUAUAUAUACAUAAAUGACUUAUAUAUUUAAUCAUAUUUAAUCCAUCUAUUAUGUAUAUAUUCAUAUUUUACAAGUGAGGAAAUCAAGGCUCUUUUAAUGUGACUUGCUCAUUUAAAUGCAUCUAGAAUGUGGCAGUGUUAUGAUAUCAACAUUUUUCAGUGAAAAGACUGCCUGAUCUUGCUGGUUAAGUACAAACGACUCCUCUUUUUUCUCAAUUAUUGGCAAAUAUUUUAGUGAAGUAUAAAUAUACAAAUGCAGUGUCCAUUUGAAGUUUUUGCAAAGCAACCACAGCCAUGAAAAACAGCACCCAGAAUACACCCAGUCCCUCAGAGGCUGCUCUCAUGCCCCAUCCCAUGUAUUGGGUCUCCCCUCCUCAGCCACCAAGGAAAACCAUUGUCUUGUCCUUUGACACCACACACCUCAUUUGAGUGUUUUCAGACAUUAUGUAGUUGAAAUCAUAAAGUAUGUACUUCCUUGUGUAUUUGUAUAUAUUAGGAGCUUAUAAAUAGAUUUUUUAUGAAUAUUUUUUAACUGAAUGUAUGUAUUAUCUCAGAUGAUGUUAAUUGGUUCUGUGUGAUGAGCUGUUUUGUUCGCCCCUGAUGAGUCAAGAAGGCUGCCUUUAAAUGAAGAUGAAUACACGUCUGUCAAAGGGAAGUUAUGCUUGAUUUGGAGCCCUGUUUGAACAGGUCAAUUAAUCAGAAUCGUAGUGGUAAAAUAUUGCCACUUUCAGGAAUCAUUGCAGGUGGUAUUAAAUUAUAGAGUCUAGUCUUGAUGUUUAUGAAUAACUCAUAAUAAAUAAAUAGACUUAGUAUUUUUACAGAGUGACUAAUAGAAUUUGACUUAUUCCUGUGGGCUGAUUUAAUGUGUUCAAUCAGCUGCCAGGAAUGAGUGCCAGAGAAUUGCCAGCAAACGAAGUCAGGAAGAGGCAUUUCUAUUAAGGGAGGAUAGGGCCUUGCUCUUAAUGGAUAAAACCAUCAGACCGUUUACGCAAACCAGGUGGGUCUCAUCAACGUGGAGAUGUUCCUCCUCUGCUGGGCAGGUGGCUUUGUCAACUAGGCAGUUUGGUUUUCUAGUGUAGCGUGUGAGCUACUGUUGCUGUUGAAGAAGAAGCCACAACAGACUGGAUCUCAAAUGUCUCAGUUUCCUCAUCUGUGAAACGGGGCUGAUGCCGGGCCUGCCUCCCUUUGUUGUUGUGAGGAUUCCAUGAGAGUCCCUGGUGCAUAGCAAGCCCUCAGUCAGUAUUAGCUAACGUAGAGAUAGGCUAAUGUAGAAGUAGGAAUAGGGCUGCCCCAUGGCAUUUUUUUGAGGGGCUCCAGGAGAGUUCCAUCUACAAAAAUAUUUAUGACAAUCUCCAGCAUUUCUAAGAGAUUUCCUACUGUUUUUGGUAAAUAUCAGGGCAACACCUCAGAGGGCAAAUGUGUCAGAGCAACCCACUGAGACUCACUGGAUCUCUUCUCACGUGUCUGUUCCUUCUUCCUAUGUCCUCUCACUAUUCUGUUACCUUGUAAAGACUGUCUAUUUGCCAUCUGGACACCUGCUCUGGAGCUUCAUACACCUGUAUCCAACUGUCUGUGUGAUAAAUUUAGUUGAAUAUCUUACAGACAGCUCAAGCUGGACGUGUUCAAAUCCAGCUUCAUCAUCUCCCCUUCAGCUAGAUUAACUCAUCACUCACUCCUACACUGGUCAGAGACAUAUUCAAUGCCUGUACUCCAUUAGGCACUGGGAAUACUUUGAUAUACACCAUGGACCUGGUCCCUGCUUUCAUGCAGCUUGCAGUCCAGUGGUGCAUUUGGACAGUUCAGAGCUGUGACAGGAGGAUGAAUUAAUCCAGAUGGGUAGUCAGGAGGACUUUCUAAGGAAGUCAGUUCUAAGAAAAGACCUGAAUGAAGAAAGCUAGGCAGGUCACCAUCAGUGCCUAAGUGAGCACAAAAUGGCAUUAGGAUUAUUUCCUGUCCCUCAUGUCCCAUGUGCAUUCAUAAAAGCUUGUUGUCUCAGAUACACAUGGUGUGAUUGUGUGUAAGAACAAGAACGUUUACGAAUAUAUAAUACAUGCCACAUAAUUUCUCAGCAGUAUUUACUAUUCACCACAACCCAAUGAGGCAAAUCUUAUAAUUGUUCCCAUUUUAUAGGUGAGAAAAUUAAGGCAUGAAAAACAGUUUAAUUAACUGUGCCCAAUUUCACACAGCAUGUAAAUAGAUUCAUAUUAUGGUGUGUUGUAGAACUUACAUUCUUAUCCACUCUGCCACCUUCACCUUCUCCAGCCCAUCCUCUCCUCCCCUUUCCCUAAUGGUCUCAUACAGGGUCCUCCCUCUGGCCUGGCCUCCCAGUGAUUCCACCUACCUGCAUUUUUGCUCUUGUCAAACAAUCUCCCUACACUAUUACUAGGGUAAUCUUUCUAAAAUACGACUCUGCUCACAUAAUCCUGUCCUGCUAACAUUCUGCAAUAUUUUGUCCAAAGCAGCAAGCAGAGUCAAGUUCAGAGCUUUCAUCUUCCAUCUCUGACACUCUGUGGGCAAUGGAUCCCCCAUUUCCUACCCCAGCAGCAUUGCUCACUGCUCCCAAUUUGCAUCCCAAAGUUUUUCCAAACUGACCCUGGGUCUCUUACGUUUUUGGAUCAGCACAGUCUCACUUCCUCUUUUGUUUGCCAAGUCCCUCUCCUCUUUUUGUUGGACUGCUUCUUGCAUGUGCUUCAGAAUUUUCUUCCUUCCCUCGUCCUGCACUCCCUCCCAAGUCUGGAUGAAGAGUCUCUACUGCCUGUUCUCACAGCACACACUGCUCCAGCCCUGCAGGCAUCACCUACCACGAAUGAAUUUCCCAUUUCUUGUCUCUCUGCUUCACUAGACUUUGAACCUUGUGUAGGCAAGGAUUGCACUUAUUUAUUUUUACAUUUCCAGCCCAUUGCUUGACCCACAGUAGCGUUCAAUGGAUGACGAAAGAAUGAAUAAAUAAAAGGAUGUCAUAUAGAGGAGCAAGGCCCUGGGGCAAUGGGACCGAGAAUGGAUGGGCCUUGACUGAUAGAAGCAGAGGGUGUGAACUAGCCGAUCAGGGGGUACCUUGCCUAUAGUUGGAGGAAUUUAACAGAGGUCAACACACAGUCAUGUAUCAGUAAUUGGUGUGAUGAAGGAAUGUAGAGAGAAGCCCUAGUGACUCUGUGGCUGGCAUCUCAGUGUACCUCUGGUCAGCUAUGGUUUUUAAAAAUUAUUCUUUUACUAAUAUGAGCCAUAGAAUCAUUCAAGUUGAUUAACAGUGAAAAAAAUCAGUCUUAUCAUCUUUCUUUCUUUUCUUCCUUCCUUUGUUUGUUUUAUUAUUAUUUUUCUCUUUUUAGGGCCUCACUAGUGGCAUAUGGAAGUUCCUGGGCUACGGGUCUAAUUGGAGCUGCAGCUGUAGGCCUAUUCCACAGCUUGUGGCAACACCAGAUCCUUAACCAAUGAGCGUGGCCAGGGAUCAAACCCAUAUCCUCAAGGAUACUAGUUAGGUUCUUAGCCCGCUGAGCCACAAUGGGAACUCCUCUUCCUUCUUUUAUUAACAUAACCUUUAAAACUUCCAAAAUGAAUAGGUGUGCUUUGUUGAAAAUAAAAACAGAUAAGCCAAAGUUUGGAAACUAUUAUUGUAUUAGUGUGUUAGGGCUGCUGUUAUAAAGUACCGUAGAUUGGGCAGCUUUACUAAAACAACAGAAAUUAAUUUUCUGACAGUUCUGGAGGCUAAAAAGUCCAAAAUCAAGGUGUUGGCAGGAUGUCCCUUUGACAAGGAUUUUGAAGGGAAACCUGUAGGGGGGGGAUUUCUUCCUGCCUCUUCCCAGUCCAUCUUGGCUUGCAGCUCAUCAUUCUAAUCUCUGCCCCUGUCUUCAUGUGGCUUCUCUCUGGGAGUCUCUUCUCUUCCUAAAAGGAAAACAGUGUAUUAGAUUCAGGAAGAACUCUAUUCCCCUAUGACAUCCUCUUAACUAAUGACAUAUGGUGGGACCCUAUUUCCAAAGGAGGUCACCUUCUGAGGUCCUAGGGGUUAGGCCUCCAACAUCUUUUGGAGGGGGCACCAUGAUUCAACCUGUAACGCUAUAUUUCUACUGCUCCAAGGUAACUACUGAUAACAUAUAUCACAUAUCAUAUAUGACAUACAUAUGAUAACAUGUAUCAGUUUAUCAUAUAUGUCCCCACAUCUUAAAGAAUGCACAUAGCAUAUAUUUUUCCACAUCUUAAAAAAUGCAUAUAUGUAUCAUAUAUUUUCCCAUAUCCUAAAAAAUGUGUAAUACUUAUCUGCAGUUUUUAACCAAAAUGAGAUGGUACUAUAUAUGGCGUUUGGUAAGUCUGCUUUUUUUCCUUUCUUUCUUUUUUCUUUUUUUUUCCAGUUAAUGAUCUAAGGAGAUUAACUUUUAUUAUCUGAUUUCUUUUGUUUCACUUUGCAACCCUUGUUUUCUGGCUUAUUUACUGUGGCUUUUAGCUAUUACAUCUGAAAUGUGAUCCUAUAAUGCUCUUUUGAAUUGCUAAGCAUAUUUUCUGAUUAUUAAGGAAAGUUGCUGGGUUUCCUGUGGGGAUAAGAAAGAAAAAAAAUGAAACGGAUUUAAAGGCCCCAUUUCAUUAUGCAUAAUCCACGUAAGCAUGUCCGCUGGAUGGUUCUGCUCUAAUUGACACUCAGAAAUUGAAGGCCAGGCUGAGCUUCCACUCUCCACCCCAGUGGAGGGGGGCUGAGGUCGAGUGUGACCCUUGUCCGAAUCUCCCUGAUUAGAUUCAAUGAGCUGUGUGCCUAAUGAAUCCAAAGGCUCAUUUGUUCCAAGGAACUUUUUCUUAACCUUUCUUUCCUCUACCUAAUGCAAAAGUCUGUGAGGAAAAUACAAAGGAAGAGAGCUUUGCUGCUGGAGCAUAAUUUAGAUAAUUGUGCAAGUGAACUAAAAAUGAGACAUGUUAGAAAAGAGAGGAUCUUAUCUGAUCUUUAUUUUUUCUUUCUCUCUCCCUUUUUCCCUUUUGCAGCUGACCCUGGUGCUUUUCAGAAAUACGAACAUGUUU
rnacentral:lncRNA from 1 species